rnacentral:rRNA from 1 species
AUUCCAGCUCCAAUAGCGUAUAUUAAAGUUGUUGCAGUUAAAACGCUCGUAGUCGGAUUUCGGGGCGGGCCGACCGGUCUGCCGAUGGGUAUGCACUGGCCGGCGCGUCCUUCCACCCGGAGACCGCGCCUACUCUUAACUGAGCGGGCGCGGGAGACGGGUCUUUUACUUUGAAAAAAUCAGAGUGUUUCAAGCAGGCAGUCGCUCUUGCAUGGAUUAGCAUGGGAUAAUGAAAUAGGACUCUGGUGCUAUCUUGUUGGUCUUGCACGUCUAGGUAAUGAUUAAUAGGGAUAGUUGGGGGUAUUCAUAUUUAAUUGUCAGAGGUGAAAUUCUUGGAUUUAUGAAAGAUGAACUUAUGCGAAAGCAUUUACCAUGGAUGUUUUCAUUA